rnacentral:rRNA from 1 species
UACGUAGGUGGCAAGCGUUGUCCGGAUUUACUGGGUGUAAAGGGCGUGUAGCCGGGCUGACAAGUCAGAUGUGAAAUCCGGGGGCUCAACCCCCGAACUGCAUUUGAAACUGUUAUUCUUGAGUAUCGGAGAGGAAAGCGGAAUUCCUAGUGUAGCGGUGAAAUGCGUAGAUAUUAGGAGGAACACCAGUGGCGAAGGCGGCUUUCUGGACGACAACUGACGCUGAGGCGCGAAAGUGUGGGGAGCAAACAGG